rnacentral:rRNA from 1 species
CCUACGGGAGGCAGCAGUGAGGAAUAUUGGUCAAUGGACGAGAGUCUGAACCAGCCACGCAGCGUGAAGGAUGACUGCCUUAUGGGUUGUAAACUUUUUUUAUAUGGGAAUAAAAUGUUCCACGUGUGGGAUUUUGUAUGUACCAUAUGAAUAAGGAUCGGCGAACUCUGUGUCAGCAGCCGCGGUAAUACGGAGGAUCCGAGCGUUAUCCGGCUUUAUUGGGUUUAAAGGGAGCGUAGGUGGAUUGUUAAGUCAGUUGGGAAAGUUUGCGGCUCAACCGUAAAAUUGCAGUUGAAACUGGUAAGCUUGAGUACAGUAGAGGUGAGCGGAAUUCGUGGUGUAGCGGUGAAAUGCUUAGAUAUCACGAAGAACUCCGGUUGCGAAGGCAGAUCACUGGAUUGCAACUGACACUGAGGCUCGAAAGUGUGGGUAGCAAACAGGAUUAGAUACCCCUGUAGUC